AUUGAACGCUGGCGGCAGGCCUAACACAUGCAAGUAGAACGAGUGGCGGACGGGUGAGUAAUGUCUGGGAAACUGCCUGAUGGAGGGGGAUAACUACUGGAAACGGUAGCUAAUACCGCAUACCAUCAGAUGUGCCCAGAUGGGAUUAGCUUGUUGGUGGGGUAACGGCUCACCAAGGCGACGAUCCGUAACUGGUCUGAGAGGAUGAGCAGCCAAACUGGAACGUAGACACGGUCCAGACUCCUACGGGAGGCAGCAGGGGGGAAUAUUGGACAAUGGGCGAAAGCCUGAUCCAGUCAUGCCGCGUGUGUGAAGAAGGUCUUCGGAUUGUAAAGCACUUUAAGUUGGGAGGCGUUACCAACAGAAUAAGCACCGGCUAACUCCGUGCCAGCAGCCGCGGUAAUAC
rnacentral:rRNA from 1 species